CUGACCCGCGGCCCGUGCCUCACUUCGUCGGGUUCUCCUUUUCUUCCCCAAACCGACACCGCCGCCACCGCGUCGAUUCCUCUCCUCCCCUCGCAUACAAAACGGCCGACCAAAGGAAGCUUCAAGUCCUUCCUCCCUCCUCUCUCCCCGAUCGUGAGCCUCUUCCUUCCAUCAUCUCCUUCCCCUCGCUCCUCUGCCCUAGAGCUCGAGUCACCGUCGCCCGAGACUUCCCUUUGCCCUAGCGCCGGCAGCCCGGUCCACUCCCACCUCCGGUCCCCACAAGAGCGGCGCCAUCAUCCCUCUGCCCUGUGCGACUCCGCCCCUGUCGACGUCGUGCCCUAGGUCACCGCCGUGAGGAGGUGUUCAGGGAUUCGAGGUUGGAAAGCGUUGGUGUUGCUGCCACAGAAGCCACAGGUACCGGUAGCUACAUCUUUUUCUGGCAGCAAACUCACCGAGCUGUGGAUCAAUUAGGGCUGUGAGAUUGAGUGGAUCCAGUUUAGGGCUUUUGGCGGGCAGAUUUGAGAGAUAGUUGGACGGUGGUUUUCUCCAAUAGUGGUUCAGCAGCUGAGACAUCAGAUUUGGGAUUCAAAUUCGAGAUGAGCACUUCGACAUAGAGGUUGAUUAGCUCGAUCUACAUUGGAGGCAGGUUGAGGUUGUUCAGGAGGUUCCCAUCGCUAGUCCCCCACCAUUGCGCGUCGCGACGAGUUCGCACAUUUCGAUUUUCUUAUUAUGUUAGACUAUGUUUUCAGACUUGUAGCUUUUGGCAUUUGGAUCUUAUACGUUUUGUUAUUUUUCAAUGGGGUUUUAUUUGGAUGUAUGCAGGAAUUUUAUGUUUUAUGGGUGUAGUUGAGUAGGAUAUCGGUUUUAUGUUUUAUGGGUGUAGUUGAGUAGGAUAUCAGAUUUAUGUUUUAUGGGUGUAGUUGAGUAGGAUUUUUGCGAUGAUUUCUUUA